rnacentral:misc_RNA from 1 species
AAGUCGUAACAAGGUUUCCGUAGGUGAACCUGCGGAAGGAUCAUUAAUACGUAUCCAACGUUAAACCCCCCCUGUGAACUUUUACACUUGCUUCGGAAUUGCAAUCCCUGGUAAAUCAUUGUUGAACAGAUUUUGAUUCAGGGACCUCAGUUUGGAGCGAUCGUGCGCAAGUAACCUGGUUUCCCCAAGCAGUCAGUGUCUGAAAGUGUCAUUGAUUGUGUAAGGAUAACGCUUUUCGAUCACUGAGGUUGCAGUGGCUUCACGGCCCCAUAUUAACCCCACUACCUGUACCGGCCUCGUAGGAAACUAGGCAACAAACGAACAACUGUUAACAAUGGAUAUCUUGGUUCUC